GAUGAAGAACGCAGUGAAAUGCGAUAAGUAGUGUGAAUUGCAGAAUUCAGUGAAUCAUCGAAUCUUUGAACGCACAUUGCGCCCCCUGGUAUUCCGGGGGGCAUGCCUGUCCGAGCGUCAUUGCUGCCCUCAAGCACGGCUUGUGUGUUGGGCCCCGUCCUCCGAUCCCGGGGGACGGGCCCGAAAGGCAGCGGCGGCACCGCGUCCGGUCCUCGAGCGUAUGGGGCUUUGUCACCCGCUCUGUAGGCCCGGCCGGCGCUUGCCGAUCAACCCAAAUUUUUAUCCAGGUUGACCUCGGAUCAGGUAGGGAUACCCGCUGAACUUAAGCAUAUCAAUAAGCGGAGGA
rnacentral:misc_RNA from 1 species